UUACUGUCCAACUUUGGGGUUUUCUUGCCUUUUUUCUCUCAGAGUUGAGCCCCUGCCCGGGCUGUUUAGUCCCUCGGUCACGAGGAACGGUAGAGUUUAGAAUCUGUGAGUACGUUAGAAAGUUCGCAGUCGAGUAAGAACUGGGUUCGGGCAAGGGCAGCUGGUCCGGUACCAAGGAAAAACAGGCUGGGAUGGUGAAGGGGUCAGUGGCUACAAGGCUGGAAGUUAAGCACCAGAAGGGAAUUUGGAGAUCAAUUCAACCGCCUCAUUUCGGUCAUACUUAAAUUGAAACCCAGAAAGAUGAGGUAAUUUGCAGAAGGUCACCCAGCAACCCCUGAGCAGGCAGGACUGCAACACAGAUGUCUGACGUGGCCUUCCACUGUGUAAUACUAAGCAGAUAGGACGUAAAUUCCUUUGCAGACGUCUCAUUUUUCCUUACCCCCUGCCUCUCAUAUUACACACCUUCCCCAUUUUGCUUUUCUUCUUUUACUUUGCACUUGUUUUUGUACAUCUAAAAGGAAUUAAUUAUUCAACAGCAGUGGGAACCCUUAAAACAUAAUCUGGAAAAAAAGAUCAAUAAAGUUUUAUGUCGCGUAGUGAAAAGAGCAUGUGCGUUAGAGACAAACCUGGGCUGCAGCUAUUUACUUGUGAGAUCUUUAGGUCAAUUGGCUUUUAUUACAGCUUUUAAACCAUAAUAAAAUUGGGAUCCCUGCCUCGCAGAAGAUUGAUUAAAUGGAUCAUAAAUUGUCCAACUAGUGCCUAGCAAAUAGUACAUACUCAGUAUUUUCCCCUUUUUAAUCCCCGUUUUACAGGCGAUGGAACUCACCAGAGACCAGAGAGCUACAGAAUGGCUGAACUGGGUUUUAAAUCUAGUCAAUCUUGACCCCAGAGCUCUCCAGCCUAAAGCACCCUUCUAUCAUAGAGGUCGUCAUCCACAUUCCACAGAUGAGAAAAGGAAGCUUGGAGAAGGAGGUUCCAGGCUGCACACCUAUUGCUGAGGAGAGCUGAAAUUCCAACCAUGUUUCUCCAGCUCCAAAGUCUGUGCCUCUACCACUUGAUAUAAAAGACCAUGUGACCACAUCACUAGCUACAAACAGCUCUAACUAAAUAAAAAGCAUGCUGAUCUGACCUCUGGAAGAGAACCUUUGUCAAUCAAUAUCUAGUGUUGUCCCAGGAAGAGAGAUUCGAUGUCUAGCAGACACUGGAAAGCCUACCUUGUAUAAGUGCAAGGGGAUCUGCUGACCCUGCCCCAUUUACUCAAGGUCCCAGUACUUAAGGAAUAUCUUUCAGAAGGAUGGAUGAAUAUUAAGAAACUAAGGAGCAAAGGAAUCAAGGAUUUCUUCCAGUCCACCUAGGAAGUUAGCUGCAUAGUUAGAAAUAGAACUGUAGACUUCUGGCCUGUUUUCCAAACCACAGAUAUGCUUGGUUUAUGCAGGUUUUGUCUGCUGCCCGCUCGGUGCUGAAGUCAACUUCCUGCUGCUGUUGGCACAUCUGCCCCCUGCAGCUGAGCUUUUUCUGGUUGGUGAUUACUCCGUACACUGGUUUGCUGCUAUUUGGAGAAUCAGAUAAGUAGCUUGUUUACAUUUGUUAUGAAGAAUCUGUAAUGUAAGAGGGAGCUGCAACCUCUGACCCUGAUGGGACUGUAUAACCCACCUUCUGCACAGACUUUGUAGGCUAGAGCUGUGCUUGGGAGCUUGGUUGUUGCUGGAAAUAUGGUGUCUAGAUGAGGAGUUUUUAAUAUACUGUUAUGGGCUGAAUUGUGUCCCCCUCAAAAUUCACAUGUUGAACCCCCAUCCCCAGUAUCUCAGAAUAUGAUACUUGGAGAUAGGGUCUUUAAAGAGGUAGUUAAAUUAAAAUGAGUCAUUAGUGUGGGUCCUAAUCUGAUAGGACUGGUGUCCUUAUAAAAAGAGAUUAGGACACAGACUGGCACAGAGGGAAGACCCUGUGAAGACACAGAAAGAAGAUGGCGGUCUACAAGCCAAGGAAAAACACCACUGAAGAAACCAACCCUGCUAACACUUUGAUCUUGGACUUCUAGCCCCCAGGAUUGUGAGAAAAUAAUUUUUCAUUGCUUAAGACACUCAGUCUAUGGUGCUUUGUUAUGGCAGCCCGAGCUGACUAAUCCACUAACCAGGCAGCUUUCACCUGUGGUGUAGUGUCCUGAGAUUAUGCCUGGAGUAGAGAAAAGUAAGAGCUAUCCCAUAGGCUCCCCUCACCAAGCCCACGUCUCAGGACAACUCCUUUAUUUAACCUGUUGGUAUUACUGCAAACUUUAAGGUUUUCUAGGUACAGAGCCGCCAACUCACUGACGAGAAAGGAAGAGAUGACUGGACCCUGCAAGGAGACAGAGAAAUGAGCUUUGAUGUACACAAGAAUAAUGAGGAAUUCAAGCAAAAAAAAAAAAAAAAGUUUCUCCUACGGGAAGAUGGAUUCUGAGCUGUUAGUUAAAAGUUAAGAAGAACACCAGGAAUUGUUGUUAAUUCUUUCCUAAAUCUAUCAGUUCAAUUAGCUGCUGAGACCAAAAAAAGUCAUAAAUUGCGAAUUUUUAUACACAAAACAUUUUUUAUAAAGCAUAAAAGUAAAUCAUCAGGGUAUCCUUGAACAAAAACCACAGUGAAAGAUGAAUGACUAUGUAAAAACCCAAUUUGAAUAAUUUUAAAAAGACAUCAGAUAAAAAGAAAAGGCCUAGAGAGAGAAUGAAAAUUUGAAGGGAAAGAAGGGACUUAGAAAUGAGGGCAGAAGGG